rnacentral:rRNA from 1 species
UACGUAGGGUGCGAGCGUUGUCCGGAAUUAUUGGGCGUAAAGAGCUCGUAGGCGGUCUGUCGCGUCGGCUGUGAAAACCCGGGGCUCAACCCCGGGCCUGCAGUCGAUACGGGCAGACUAGAGUGCGGUAGGGGAGACUGGAAUUCCUGGUGUAGCGGUGAAAUGCGCAGAUAUCAGGAGGAACACCGGUGGCGAAGGCGGCGAUCUGGGUCGAUACUGACGCUGAGGUGCGAAAGCGUGGGGAGCAAACAGG